GAUGAACGCUGGCGGCGUGCCUAAUACAUGCAAGUCGAGCGAACAGACGAGGAGCUUGCUCCUCUGACGUUAGCGGCGGACGGGUGAGUAACACGUGGAUAACCUACCUAUAAUACUGGGAUAACUUCGGGAAACCGGAGCUAAUACCGGAUAAUAUAUUGAACCGCAUGGUUCAAUAGUGAAAGACGGUUUUGCUGUCACUUAUAGAUGGAUCCGCGCCGCAUUAGCUAGUUGGUAAGGUAACGGCUUACCAAGGCAACGAUGCGUAGCCGACCUGAGAGGGUGAUCGGCCACACGGGAACUGAGACACGGUCCAGACUCCUACGGGAGGCAGCAGUAGGGAAUCUUCCGCAAUGGGCGAAAGCCUGACGGAGCAACGCCGCGUGAGUGAUGAAGGUCUUCGGAUCGUAAAACUCUGUUAUUAGGGAAGAACAAAUGUGUAAGUAACUAUGCACGUCUUGACGGUACCUAAUCAGAAAGCCACGGCUAACUACGUG
rnacentral:rRNA from 1 species